AACGCUAGCUACAGGCUUAACACAUGCAAGUCGCGGGGUAACGAGACGGAAGCUUGCUUCCGUUGUCNACNACCGGCGCACGGGUGAGUAACGCGUAUCCAACCUGGCCAUUACCACGGGAUAGCCCGUCGAAAGGCGGAUUAAUACCGUAUGAACUUCAAUGAUGCCAUCAGAUUUGAAGUAAAGGAAUAGCGGUAAUGGAUGGGGAUGCGUCCGAUUAGGUUGUUGGCGGGGUAACGGCCCACCAAGCCGACGAUCGGUAGGGGUUCUGAGAGGAAGGUCCCCCACAUUGGAACUGAGACACGGUCCAAACUCCUACGGGAGGCAGCAGUGAGGAAUAUUGGUCAAUGGGCGAGAGCCUGAACCAGCCAAGUAGCGUGCAGGAUGACGGCCCUAUGGGUUGUAAACUGCUUUUGUACGGGGAUAAAGUGGGGGUCGUGACCCCUAUUGCAGGUACCGUACGAAUAANGACCGGCUAAUUCCCGUGCCNGCNGCCNCGGUAAUUACGGAAGGUCCGGGCGUUAUCCNGAUUUAUUUGGGUUUAAAGGGGANCGUANGCCGUCUUUUAAGCNUGUUUGUGAAAUGUAGGGGCUCAACCUCUGCACUGCANCGCNAACUGGAAGACUUUAAAAUNCNCNNAGCCAGGCGGAAUUUGUNNUGUUNCNGNUGAAUGCUUAANNUUCACGAAGAACUCCGAUUG
rnacentral:rRNA from 1 species